GGCUGGUCCGAAGGUAGUGAAUUAUUUCAGUUGAUUUUUCACAGUUCCGUGUUCUACUCUUUCCCCAUCCUCACUACUGCACUUGACUUAAA
ensembl:misc_RNA Y_RNA Y RNA